UUCAGAAAUGGGAUGGGUCCUUCAAGCCAAAUGUCAUAAAAGAGGCUAAGCUGCUUACUUCAACACCAGAGUUGCGUCGCUUGGUGUGGUCAGCAGAAAGUACCCCAGGAAAUGAUCUUGAUGAGUGCAUGAGUGCAAAACCUACGACCAAGAAAUGGCCUCCUUGUUGCUGCUGAUACAUCUCCUUCCACCACCAUCGGGGGACUGAAGUCUCCAGAAAUUAGUGCGUGUGAUGCAGUUGAAAGACUUGUAGUCUUUCAUAAGUCAUGCUGCAGUUUGGAGGAGCAUCUCUGCCACCAGCGUCAGAAGAGCAAGACUGACAGCUUCUACAUCACCAUGGAUAAGCAUCUCAUCCCAUUCCAGGCAAACUGCUUCCUCAGGGCAUUUGAUGAACUUUUCAA